AGUGAACGCUGGCGGUAGGCCUAACACAUGCAAGUCGAACGGCAGCACAGUAAGAGCUUGCUCUUACGGGUGGCGAGUGGCGGACGGGUGAGGAAUACAUCGGAAUCUACUUUUUCGUGGGGGAUAACGUAGGGAAACUUACGCUAAUACCGCAUACGACCUACGGGUGAAAGCAGGGGCUCUUCGGACCUUGCGCGAUUGAAUGAGCCGAUGUCGGAUUAGCUAGUUGGCGGGGUAAAGGCCCACCAAGGCGACGAUCCGUAGCUGGUCUGAGAGGAUGAUCAGCCACACUGGAACUGAGACACCGUCCAGACUCCUACGGGACGCAGCAGUGGGGUAUAUUGGACAAUGGGCGCAAGCCUGAUCCAGCCAUACCGCGUGGGUGAAGAAGGCCUUCGGGUUGUAAAGCCCUUUUGUUGGGAAAGAAAAGCAGCAGGUUAAUACCCCGCUGUUCUGACGGUACCCAAAGAAUAAGCACCGGCUAACUUCGUG
rnacentral:rRNA from 1 species